GACGAACGCUGGCGGCGUGCUUAACACAUGCAAGUCGAACGGAAAGGCCCUGCUUUUGUGGGGUGCUCGAGUGGCGAACGGGUGCGUAACACGUGAGUAACCUGCCCUUGACUUUGGGAUAACUUCAGGAAACUGGGGCUAAUACCGGAUAGGAGCUCCUGCUGCAUGGUGGGGGUUGGAAAGUUUCGGCGGUUGGGGAUGGACUCGCGGCUUAUCAGCUUGUUGGUGGGGUAGUGGCUUACCAAGGCUUUGACGGGUAGCCGGCCUGAGAGGGUGACCGGCCACAAUGGGACUGAGAUACGGACCAGACGCCUAAGGGAGGCAGCAGGGGGGAAUAUUGCACAAUGGGCGGAAGCCUGAUGCAGCAACGCCGGGUGCGGGAUGACGGCCUUCGGGUUGUAAACCGCUUUAGCCUGUGACGAAGCGUGAGUGACGGUAAUGGGUAAAGAAGCACCGGCUAACUACGUG
rnacentral:rRNA from 1 species